rnacentral:rRNA from 1 species
UUCCAGGUAAAUCCGGUUCACUUUAACACUGAGGCGUGAUGACGAGGCACUACGGUGCUGAAGCAACAAAUGCCCUGCUUCCAGGAAAAGCCUCUAAGCAUCAGGUAACAUCAAAUCGUACCCCAAACCGACACAGGUGGUCAGGUAGAGAAUACCAAGGCGCUUGAGAGAACUCGGGUGAAGGAACUAGGCAAAAUGGUGCCGUAACUUCGGGAGAAGGCACGCUGACACGUAGGUGAAGUGAUUUACUCACGGAGCUGAAGUCAGUCGAAGAUACCAGCUGGCUGCAACUGUUUAUUAAAAACACAGCACUGUGCAAACACGAAAGUGGACGUAUACGGUGUGACGCCUGCCCGGUGCCGGAAGGUUAAUUGAUGGGGUCAGCGCAAGCGAAGCUCCUGAUCGAAGCCCCGGUAAACGGCGGCCGUAACUAUAACGGUCCUAAGGUAGCGAAAUUCCUUGUCGGGUAAGUUCCGACCUGCACGAAUGGCGUAAUGAUGGCCAGGCUGUCUCCACCCGAGACUCAGUGAAAUUGAACUCGCUGUGAAGAUGCAGUGUACCCGCGGCAAGACGGAAAGACCCCGUGAACCUUUACUAUAGCUUGACACUGAACAUUGAGCCUUGAUGUGUAGGAUAGGUGGGAGGCUUUGAAGUGUGGACGCCAGUCUGCAUGGAGCCGACCUUGAAAUACCACCCUUUAAUGUUUGAUGUUCUAACGUGGACCCGUAAUCCGGGUUGCGGACAGUGUCUGGUGGGUAGUUUGACUGGGGCGGUCUCCUCCUAAAGAGUAACGGAGGAGCACGAAGGUUGGCUAAUCCUGGUCGGACAUCAGGAGGUUAGUGCAAUGGCAUAAGCCAGCUUGACUGCGAGCGUGACGGCGCGAGCAGGUGCGAAAGCAGGUCAUAGUGAUCCGGUGGUUCUGAAUGGAAGGGCCAUCGCUCAACGGAUAAAAGGUACUCCGGGGAUAACAGGCUGAUACCGCCCAAGAGUUCAUAUCGACGGCGGUGUUUGGCACCUCGAUGUCGGCUCAUCACAUCCUGGGGCUGAAGUAGGUCCCAAGGGUAUGGCUGUUCGCCAUUUAAAGUGGUACGCGAGCUGGGUUUAGAACGUCGUGAGACAGUUCGGUCCCUAUCUGCCGUGGGCGCUGGAGAACUGAGGGGGGCUGCUCCUAGUACGAGAGGACCGGAGUGGACGCAUCACUGGUGUUCGGGUUGUCAUGCCAAUGGCACUGCCCGGUAGCUAAAUGCGGAAGAGAUAAGUGCUGAAAGCAUCUAAGCACGAAACUUGCCCCGAGAUGAGUUCUCCCUGAGACUUAGAGUCUCCUGAAGGAACGUUGAAGACGACGACGUUGAUAGGCCGGGUGUGUAAGCGCAGCGAUGCGUUGAGCUAACCGGUACUAAUGAACCGUGAGGCUUAACCUUACA